rnacentral:rRNA from 1 species
GAGAUACGGCCCAGACUCCUACGGGAGGCAGCAGUCGGGAAUAUUGCGCAAUGGAGGAAACUCUGACGCAGUGACGCCGCGUAUAGGAUGAAGGUUCUCGGAUUGUAAACUAUUGUCAUUAGGGAAGAUUAAAGACUGUACCUAAAGAGGAAGCCCCGGCUAACUAUGUGCCAGCAGCCGCGGUAAUACAUAGGGGGCAAGCGUUAUCCGGAUUUAUUGGGUGUAAAGGGUGCGUAGACGGAGGAGCAAGUUGGUUGUGAAAUCCCUCGGCUUAACUGAGGAACUGCAACUGAAACUACUUCCCUUGAGUGUCGGAGGGGAAAGUGGAAUUCCUAGUGUAGCGGUGAAAUGCGUAGAUAUUAGGAGGAACACCGGUGGCGAAGGCGACUUUCUGGACGAUAACUGACGUUGAUGCACGAAAGUGUGGGGAGCAAACAGGAUUAGAUACCCUGGUAGUCCACACCGUAAACGAUGGAUACUAGGUGUAGGGUGUAUUAAGCACUCUGUGCCGCCGCUAACGCAUUAAGUAUCCCACCUGGGGAGUACGACCGCAAGGUUGAAACUCAAAGGAAUUGACG